rnacentral:lncRNA from 1 species
GUGACUCUUUCGCCAAUGAAUCGUUUCAAAGAGUAAAUGGGGCUGUCACAUCCAGAUGAGGAUACUGUAUAGGAUUUGACUCUGUCAACAAACCCUAAGCUUUUAGGGAAAGGGAGUGGAUAACAUGUUGGACGAUGUCUACGGGAGUUGACUGCGUGUCUUUCAAUGUGGAAGGUGGCGCUGCAACUCAGAGCAUGUCAUCCUUUGAAGGGGACCGAAAGCUGGCCAUCUUCACUUAUCUUGGAUCUUCUGCCUUCAGUCUAUAUGGCUGACUAUGACUAUGCGAGAUGGUUCACCAACUACCUGCAGCUCCUCUUCAUUUGUCAUCCUCUCUAUCCAGCUGCAUCGCAUGUCUUUGAAGUUGUCAAGGCCUGUGGGUACAAGAACACAGCUGCUGUGAGAAGACCAAGUUUGCAAUUGUCAACUUUUCUAUAUGGAAAUUUUCCAAGGGUUUUGUGGUUUUUUUAUUUCCUGUGAUAUUGGCUUUGGGUUGCAUCAGAAUGUAAAAUUUCACCUAAACCUUUCUUCCCCACCUAAAGGUACUAAUGUUAUCAGUCAG